rnacentral:misc_RNA from 1 species
AUCCCCGUUGAAGAGAGGCUUCUUUGGGUGGACUGUGUGGAACUCAUCUGGGUUACCAUACUCUCUACUUACUCAAAUGAAAAAUCAGAGGCUCGGAUAUCUGAAGCAACAUUAGAAGAAAGUGCAAAUUCCACAAGCAAUCCUACUGAGGUACGUCAUGAUUAUACUUCUGGAACAUGUUUGGGAAUUUCCUUGCAGUAACAUUAAUUUGGAC